rnacentral:rRNA from 1 species
UGGUGGCGAUGGCGGAGGGGUUCCACGCGUACCCAUCCCGAACACGACCGUUAAGCCCUCCAGCGCCGAUGGUACUUGGACCGCAGGGUCCUGGGAGAGUAGGACGCUGCCA